rnacentral:rRNA from 1 species
UACGUAGGUGGCAAGCGUUGUUCGGAAUUAUUGGGCGUAAAGGGCGCGUAGGCGGUCUUGUAAGUCAGCUGUGAAAGCCCGGGGCUCAACCCCGGAGGGUCGGCUGAUACUGCAGGACUGGAGUACGGAAGAGGUAGCUGGAAUUCCCGGUGUAGCGGUGAAAUGCGUAGAUAUCGGGAGGAAUACCUAUGGCGAAAGCAGUCUCUGGACCAUCACUGACGCUGAUCUGCGAAAGCUAGGGGAGCAAACAGG